rnacentral:rRNA from 1 species
GAUGAACGCUGGCGGCGUGCCUAAUACAUGCAAGUCGAGCGAACAGACGAGGAGCUUGCUCCUCUGACGUUAGCGGCGGACGGGUGAGUAACACGUGGAUAACCUACCUAUAAGACUGGGAUAACUUCGGGAAACCGGAGCUAAUACCGGAUAAUAUAUUGAACCGCAUGGUUCAAUAGUGAAAGACGGUUUUGCUGUCACUUAUAGAUGGAUCCGCGCCGCAUUAGCUAGUUGGUAAGGUAACGGCUUACCAAGGCAACGAUGCGUAGCCGACCUGAGAGGGUGAUCGGCCACACUGGAACUGAGACACGGUCCAGACUCCUACGGGAGGCAGCAGUAGGGAAUCUUCCGCAAGGGGCGAAAGCCUGACGGGCAACGCCGCGUGAGUGAGGAAGGUCUUCGGAUCGUAAAACUCUGUUAUUAGGGAAGAACAAAUGUGGAAGUAACUAUGCACGUCUUGACGGUACCAAAUCAGAAAGCCACGGCUAACUACGU